AAAGGAUAUGCAUAACCAAAAUCAGGAAGAGGCUUUGUUGACAUUGCCAGAAAUUUCUGUAUAUAAAUUUAGGGUUGUCAGAUGUUCUAAGUAUUAUAGAUUUUAAAGACUCUUCAUCGGUUUUGAAGACAUAAUUUGAUGACAGUUUAUUAUCUUCUUUAACACAGAAUUCAAUCAUGCAGAUGAAAUUUGUUUUUCUGGCACUGUGUGCUGUUUUAAUGUACGCCAAUACUGUACAAGGUCUUAAAACUAGAUUUUGGAGGCAAAGAAGCAGACUAUCAAAUGUGUAUCAAUGUUACAACCAGUGUAACUACGGUUUGAAGAAGUGCCUCCAUUACCAAUGUAGACCAAUCUAUUAUAACAGAGGGUAUUACUACUACAAUCAGUGUUGUCAGAACUGCCAAUACAUCAAACAGAAGUGCAACUACUUCUGUAAUCAACAUGGAUACUAUCCAGGAUAUAAUCAUAGAUUCUAAACCUUGUAACUACUUCUGUAAUCAAUACCGAUACUAUCCAGGAUAUAACCAUAUAUUCUGAACCUUGUAACUACUUCUGUAAUCAACACCGAUACUAUCCAGGAUAUAACCAUAGAUUCUGAACCUAACAGUAACUACUUCUGUAAUCAACACCGAUACUAUCCAGGAUAUAACCAUAGAUUCUGAACCUUGUAACUACUUCUGUAAUCAAUACCGAUACUAUCCAGGAUAUAACCAUAUAUUCUGAACCUAACAGUAACUACUUCUGUAAUCAACACCGAUACUAUCCAGGAUAUAACCAUAGAUUCUGAACCUAACAGUAACUACUUCUGUAAUCAACACCGAUACUAUCCAGGAUAUAACCAUAGAUUCUGAACCUAACAGUAACUACUUCUGUAAUCAACACCGAUACUAUCCAGGAUAUAACCAUAGAUUCUGAACCUUGUAACUACUUAUGUAAUCAACACCGAUACUAUCCAGUAUAUAACCAUAUAUUCUGAACCUAACAGUAACUACUUCUGUAAUCAACACCGAUACUAUCCAGGAUAUAACCAUAGAUUCUGAACCUUGUAACUACUUCUGUAAUCAACACCGAUACU